rnacentral:rRNA from 1 species
GACGAACGCUGGCGGCGUGCCUAAUACAUGCGAGUAGAACGCACAGUUUAUACCGUAGCUUGCUACACCAUAGACUGUGAGUUGCGAACGGGUGAGUAACGCGUAGGUAACCUGCCUGGUAGCGGGUGAUAACUAUUGGAAACGAUAGCUAAUACCGCAUAAUAUUGAUUAUUGCAUGAUAAUUAAUUGAAAGGUGCAAUUGCACCACUACCAGAUGGACCUGCGUUGUAUUAGCUAGUAGGUGAGGUAACGGCUCACCUAGGCGACGAUACAUAGCCGACCUGAGAGGGUGAUCGGCCACACUGGGACUGAGACACGGCCCAGACUCCUACGGGAGGCAGCAGUAGGGAAUCUUCGGCAAUGGACGAAAGUCUGACCGAGCAACGCCGCGUGAGGGAAGAAGGUUUUCGGAUCGUAAAGCUCUGUUGUAAGAGAAGAACGGGUGGGAGAGUGGAAAGUUCACACUGUGACGGUAUCUUACCAGAAAGGGACGGCUAACUACGUG